rnacentral:hammerhead_ribozyme from 1 species
CUAUUACUGAAGAGUCCAAGAUUAGGAGGAAACAUCUGUUUAAUAC